GGAAGUUUUCAGAGAUGAGAAUGUGCCUUCGGGAACCGUGAGACAGGUGCUGCAUGGCUGUCGUCAGCUCGUGUUGUGAAAUGUUGGGUUAAGUCCCGCAACGAGCGCAACCCUUAUCCUUUGUUGCCAGCGAUUAGGUCGGGAACUCAAAGGAGACUGCCAGUGAUAAACUGGAGGAAGGUGGGGAUGACGUCAAGUCAUCAUGGCCCUUACGACCAGGGCUACACACGUGCUACAAUGGCGCAUACAAAGAGAAGCGACCUCGCGAGAGCAAGCGGACCUCAUAAAGUGCGUCGUAGUCCGGAUUGGAGUCUGCAACUCGACUCCAUGAAGUCGGAAUCGCUAGUAAUCGUGGAUCAGAAUGCCACGGUGAAUACGUUCCCGGGCCUUGUACACACCGCCCGUCACACCAUGGGAGUGGGUUGCAAAAGAAGUAGGUAGCUUAACCUUCGGGAGGGCGCUUACCACUUUGUGAUUCAUGACUGGGGUGAAGUCGUAACAAGGUAACCGUAGGGGAACCUG
rnacentral:rRNA from 1 species